CCUACGGGAGGCAGCAGUGAGGAAUAUUGGUCAAUGGACGCAAGUCUGAACCAGCCAAGUCGCGUGCAGGAAGACGGCCCUAUGAGUUGUAAACCGCUUUUGUACGGGGGCAAACGGAGAUACGUGUAUCUGUCCGAAAGUAUCGUACGAAAAAGGAUCGGCUAACUCCGUGCCAGCAGCCGCGGUAAUACGGAGGAUGCAAGCGUUAUCCGGAUUUAUUGGGUUUAAAGGGUGCGCAGGCGGUCGGAUAAGUUAGAGGUGAAAUCCCGAGGCUCAACCUCGGUAGUGCCUCUGAUACUGUUCGGCUAGAGAGUAGUAGCAGUAGGCGGAAUGUGUGGUGUAGCGGUGAAAUGCUUAGAGAUCAUACAGAACACCGAUUGCGAAGGCAGCAUACCAAGCUACUUCUGACGUUGAUGCACGAAAGUGUGGGGAGCGAACAGGAUUAGAUACCCGUGUAGUC
rnacentral:rRNA from 1 species